rnacentral:rRNA from 1 species
UACAGAGGUCCCAAGCGUUGUUCGGAUUCACUGGGCGUAAAGGGCGCGUAGGCGGCCUGUUAAGUCGAACGUGAAAUCCCCGGGCUCAACCCGGGAACUGCGUCCGAUACUGGCAGGCUUGAAUCCGGGAGAGGGAUGUGGAAUUCCAGGUGUAGCGGUGAAAUGCGUAGAUAUCUGGAGGAACACCGGUGGCGAAGGCGGCAUCCUGGACCGGUAUUGACGCUGAGGCGCGAAAGCCAGGGGAGCAAACGGG